ACCUUAAUUAAUAUCAAAAAGCUAAGAAGGGCCAGAUCCGGCUAGUACUUGGAUGGGAGACUACCAGGAGAUCCAGGGACUGUAGGUU
rnacentral:rRNA from 1 species